AGAGCGAACGCUGGCGGCAGGCCUAACACAUGCAAGUCGAACGGACCCUUCGGGGUUAGUGGCGGACGGGUGAGUAACACGUGGGAACGUGCCUUUAGGUUCGGAAUAGCUCCUGGAAACGGGUGGUAAUGCCGAAUGUGCCCUUCGGGGGAAAGAUUUAUCGCCUUUAGAGCGGCCCGCGUCUGAUUAGCUAGUUGGUGAGGUAAAGGCUCACCAAGGCUACGAUCAGUAGCUGGUCUGAGAGGAUGACCAGCCACAUUGGGACUGAGACACGGCCCAAACUCCUACGGGAGGCAGCAGUGGGGAAUCUUGCGCAAUGGGCGAAAGCCUGACGCAGCCAUGCCGCGUGAAUGAUGAAGGUCUUAGGAUUAGUAAAAUUCUUUCAGUUAGGGACGAAUAAUGACGUACCUACAGAAGAAGCCCGACUAACUUCGUGCUAGCAGCCGC
rnacentral:rRNA from 1 species